rnacentral:tRNA from 1 species
GGUGUACUCAGUGGUAGAGGGUUUGCCUAGUGUGCUUGAGUUCCUGGGUUCAAUCCCCAAAUACUG